UGGAGGCCUGCCUGCCCGGUGACAUCUGUUAACGGCCGCGGUAUCCUGACCGUGCAAAGGUAGCAUAAUCAUUUGUUCUCUAAAUAAGGACUUGUAUGAAUGGCCACACGAGGGUUUAACUGUCUCUUACUUCCAAUCAGUGAAAUUGACCUUCCCGUGAAGAGGCGGGAAUCCACAAAUAAGACGAGAAGACCCUAUGGAGCUUCAAUUAAUUAACUCAUAAGCAAACAAAGAUACUCUAAGGAAACAUAUUUACUGCAUAAUGAGUUAACAAUUUAGGUUGGGGUGACCUCGGAAUACAAAACAACUUCCGAGUGAUUAAAAUCAAGACUUACAAGUCAAAACAAGCUAUCACUUAUUGAUCCAAACAAUUGAUCAACGGAACAAGUUACCCUAGGGAUAACAGCGCAAUCCUAUUUAAGAGUCCAUAUCGACAAUAGGGUUUACGACCUCGAUGUUGGAUCAGGACAUCCCAAUGGUGCAGCCGCUAUUAAUGGUUCGUUUGUUCAACGAUUAAAGUCCUACGU
rnacentral:rRNA from 1 species